rnacentral:rRNA from 1 species
GUAGUCCACGCCGUAAACGAUGUCAACUAGCCGUUGGGAAUCUUGUAUUCUUAGUGGCGCAGCUAACGCAAUAAGUUGACCGCCUGGGGAGUACGGCCGCAAGGUUAAAACUCAAAUGAAUUGACGGGGGCCCGCACAAGCGGUGGAGCAUGUGGUUUAAUUCGAUGCAACGCGAAGAACCUUACCAGGUCUUGACAUCCAGAGAAGUUGCCAGAGAUGGUUUCGUGCCUUCGGGAACUCUGAGACAGGUGCUGCAUGGCUGUCGUCAGCCUCCGUGUCGUGAGAUGUUGGGUUAAGUCCCGUAACG